ACCCAGCUGACAAGUCCCAAACAGGACGAAACGCGCGUCCUGGAU
rnacentral:hammerhead_ribozyme from 1 species